UUCAGAUUUUCUCCUCAACUUUGAACCCUCAUAUCUUGAGUUCUAGAGCUCCAAAUUGGGUGAUUCAAAAGGCAAAAUUGUGAGGUUUUUCGUGGAGAACGCAUUGGAGAGAUUGAAAACUGAUUUAGAGUAUUCGAUUCAGGUAAAAAUCGUGAUUUCAUUUGCAGCAGUAUCCAUUUUUGGAAUGGAUUUUUGAAGAACUUUGACAAGUUAUAUCUUGACCAAUAUAAAUCCGAUUUUGGUGAUUCAAGGGUCUAAAUUCAAUAUAAUUUCGUGAGGAAUCUCGUGGUAAUCUCAGAAACGCUAGGAGAAGCUUCGUUUGAGCUUGGCAGCGUUCCGAGGCCAUUCGAAAGGGAAAAGCUCCAGCACAGUGAUUUGGAGCCUGCGUGUUUGGCCUACAGGACCGAGCACCAGCUAUCGUCGUGGAUAAAUCGAGCAUGUUGCAAUCAACUUCGGAGACUAGGGUGAGUACUUGGCGUUUUUAGAUCAUUCUUGUCUUCUUCAGCAUGGAUGACCCGUCUUUUGCCUUCUGAGACUAGCCAGUUGUUUUAUAUCUUUUUGAUCUACUUUUGGGACUUGUACUCGUAUUUUAUUUUGUAGCAGCUCUGUACUUGGGACUUCCAGGUUCUGGGAGGGAUCUUUAGUUGUUUAAAACAUGUUUUGGUUUACUUCCGCUUAUUCAU